UACGGGAGGCAGCAGUGGGGAAUAUUGCACAAUGGGCGAAAGCCUGAUGCAGCGACGCCGCGUGCGGGAUGAAGGCCUUCGGGUUGUAAACUGCUUUUGUACGGAACGAAAAGACUCUGGUUAAUACCUGGGGUCCAUGACGGUACCGUAAGAAUAAGCACCGGCUAACUACGUGCCAGCAGCCGCGGUAAUACGUAGGGUGCGAGCGUU
rnacentral:rRNA from 1 species